GACAAACUAGAACGGCAAAAUUACACUCAGGCACACUGGAGUACUCUUCCCUCAAAUCCCUCCACAGAGCACUUCAUCAUUUGCUCCGCCCUCUAAUAACUCAUGCAAGAAAAGUUCAGCACCAUCAGAGAGAAACAAGACAGAAUUCAGAGAAUGGCUUUAGGGCCUUUCCUCCAGGCGGUAAGAGGAUCUGCGUGUGCCCUUCGCAGGGGUCCAAAGGGAGAGAACAACCUAGGCCUAGGGUUUCGGGGAUACUGACACCCAGAAACAGAUUUUCUCUCAAAGAAGUUUCUGCCGCCAUCCCUAUCUUAUCAGCAGGAGGCCCCGGCGCCAUCGUCUCCGUCUUUAUGAUUUUAUUAUGGGGAGGUGGGAAACGCCACCCAGGAUUCCUCCAGGCCUCCCCGAUUCAGCUUCGGGGUCCCCCUCAUUCUUCCCUCUAAGCCGCAGUCCCCGGGUCCUCCUCGGCACCCCCGCUUCUGGCGGCCUAUCCCCCGGGAAGUGUACGGGCACGGCCGAACCCACCGGCCUCGCCGUGAAGGCGGGAGGGCCCGAACCCGCCAGGGCCACGGCGAUGGCUCCGAGGGGCCCGGAAAGGGGAAGGGCAGGCCGGGGACCGGGGCAGGAUGACCUGGCCGGGGAAGAAAGGAAAACGGAGGUGAGGAGACGCACCGCCCCGCAGGGCUGCACCGAGAAGGGAGAUGAUGAAGGAGGAGGAGGAGGGCGGUGGCCCGGGUGCGGCCCCCCACUCCUCCCGCCCCCGGGUCCCCGGGCCGGCGGGGGCGGCGGACUCGGCCCAUUCCCAGGUCUGGGCUGGCGGGGGGCUGGGGGAUCUCCCUCCACACUACUAGGAGACAGAGAACGAGGGUCUCGGGAGCGCGGGGGCUGUCUCCCGCCUGAACCCGGAGACCCCGACGCCGUCGUCGCCUCUUCCUCAGGAGGGAGGACGGGAGCUGUGGGUAAAGCCCGAAGGAGGAAUGCCUGAAGGUGAGGGGAAGCCCGGGGCAGACCCGCCGCCCGCUCCGGACCCCCCCCUCCACCUUCCGGUAACCGCGUCUCUUACCGGUGAUGGCGGUGAACUGUUGAAUUAACCCCUUCAGCGCCGAGGACGCCGCGGAGCCCCCGUGGGCAGCCAUCUUACCGCCGCCGCCGCCGCCGCCGAACAACAACACAGACACACACGGACCGCCCUCCCCCACCUCGCCGCGCGGUGUGCGCAGGCGCAUUGACCGCCCCUCAAGCCCCGCCCCCAAGCCCCGCCCCUCCCGGCCCCCUCCAGAGGUCUGCGCAGGCGCACUUGCCCACCGGGCCGGAGCGCUACCCGCUCUCCGGUUGGCUGCUCGGUUGCUGCCUGCCCGGUGCAUCGUUUUUGCCACUGCUGGCGCUUUCCUCUCCGGGCUCCAAGGCUAGUCUCGCAGGCGCAGUGUCGAUUCCUACAUUCCGAAGGAAGCUUCCGUCUUGGCAGAUAUUUCGCAUUUCAGCUUCGCGAGCUUUAUUGACAGGGCCAACUCCGGUAACGGUAUUUUUUCUGCUUCGCAGUUGCUCCGCGCUCUGUUAGGUCCCAUCAAAAUACAAACCCUGCCUCCUCGCUUUGAAGCGACUCUCCCCGACCCCGCCCCCCAGCCUCUAGACUAAUGGCUCAGCUCACCGACUGUGGCGAGUGAAAUUCCAGAACCCUUCAUGCCAAAGAAAGCACCUAGCGCAGGGUUGACACCCAGUGGGUUUUCAUCAGCGAUUAUUUAGUCUGCUUUCCUUAAAUAAAUCGGCCAUCACGUCUCCCGUUAGCGUCUUAGUGAGACCCCAAGAGGUGUCAUGUGUAUAAAAAGAAACUCUGUAUAUGCAAUAGAGUUGAGAAGACAUAUAGAAAGGAGACUGGAAAAGUGUGCUCAAAA